rnacentral:rRNA from 1 species
UAUACAGCGAAACUGCGAAUGGCUCAUUAUAUAAGUUCUCGUUUAUUUGAUAGUGCCUUACUACUUGGAUAACCGUGGUAAUUCUAGAGCUAAUACAUGCUAAAAACCCCGACUUCGGAAGGGGUGUAUUUAUUAGAUACAAAACCAAUGCCCUUCGGGGCUCUUUGGUGAUUCAUGAUAACUAUACGAAUCGCACGGCCUUGCGCCGGCGAUGGUUCAUUCAAAUUUCUUCCCUAUCAACUUUCGAUGUUUGGGUAUUGGCCAAACAUGGUUGCAACGGGUAACGGAGGGUUAGGGCUCGACCCCGGAGAAGGAGCCUGAGAAACGGCUACUACAUCCAAGGAAGGCAGCAGGCGCGCAAAUUACCCAAUCCCGACUCGGGGAGGUAGUGACAAUAAAUACUGAUACAGGGCCCUUUCGGGCCUUGUAAUUGGAAUGAGUACAAUUUAAAUCCCUUAACGAGGAACAAUUGGAGGGCAAGUCUGGUGCCAGCAGCCGCGGUAAUUCCAGCUCCAAUAGCGUAUAU